AGGAACAUGUUGAUACGAGCUGUGAAGGUGCACCCGUGACUUGCAAAUACUGUAAGAAAAAUGUCUUGAGAAAAGACAUUGAAAGACACGAGAGACGCGAUUGCGACGAGGUUCCGGCGACGUGCGAGUAUCAAGAUGUAGGAUGCAACCACGAUAAGGUAAUAGUUACUUGCUGUAUUCAUUGACACACACAGGUUUUCUCCCGAUAAUUCUGUUACAGUUCCUCCUGUUGUAACUUUGCACCAAUAUAGGAUGUGCCUUCGCCUUAUUAGAGCUAUCCAGUAUAAGCUUAA
rnacentral:lncRNA from 1 species